GACGAACGCUGGCGGCAUGCCUAAUACAUGCAAGUCGAGCGAACAGAUGAAGUGCUUGCACUUCUGACGUUAGCGGCGAACGGGUGAGUAACACGUAAGGAAUCUACCUAUAAGCGGGGGAUAACAUUCGGAAACGGGUGCUAAUACCGCAUAAUAUCUUCUUCCACAUGGAAGAAGAUUGAAAGACGGCUCUGCUGUCACUUAUAGAUGACCUUGCGGUGCAUUAGUUAGUUGGUGGGGUAAUGGCCUACCAAGACGAUGAUGCAUAGCCGACCUGAGAGGGUGAUCGGCCACAUUGGGACUGAGACACGGCCCAAACUCCUACGGGAGGCAGCAGUAGGGAAUCUUCCGCAAUGGGCGAAAGCCUGACGGAGCAAUGCCGCGUGAGUGAAGAAGGCCUUCGGGUCGUAAAACUCUGUUAUAAGAGAAGAACAAAUUGUAGAGUAACUGCUACAGUCUUGACGGUAUCUUAUCAGAAAGCCACGGCUAACUACGUGCCAGCCGCCGGGGUAA
rnacentral:rRNA from 1 species